AGAGUUUGAUCAUGGCUCAGGAUGAACGCUAGCUACAGGCUUAACACAUGCAAGUCGAGGGGCAGCAUGGUCUUAGCUUGCUAAGGCCGAUGGCGACCGGCGCACGGGUGAGUAACACGUAUCCAACCUGCCGAUAACUCGGGGAUAGCCUUUCGAAAGAAAGAUUAAUACCCGAUGGUAUAAUCAGACCGCAUGGUCUUGUUAUUAAAGAAUUUCGGUUAUCGAUGGGGAUGCGUUCCAUUAGGCAGUUGGUGAGGUAACGGCUCACCAAACCUUCGAUGGAUAGGGGUUCUGAGAGGAAGGUCCCCCACAUUGGAACUGAGACACGGUCCAAACUCCUACGGGAGGCAGCA
rnacentral:rRNA from 1 species